ensembl:lncRNA
AACUCGGCAAAGCUGGGCGCCGGCUCCUCUGGGAGGCGCUGCGGGCUGGGAGCAGGGGGGCCACGGGUGAGUCUUCCUGCUCACUUCGCGGUAGGCGCUCCUGCCUUGGGUGUAGCUGGUGGUGGGAGUGCUGACUGGAGGCGGGGUGGCGGGGAGAGGGGCUUGGGUGGGAGUCCUCCCGGGUAGGGCCCACACUCGCCCCGCCGGCCUCAGACUGGCUCCUGGGAGACCAGACAGCGUCUGCACAACGAACCCGGCCAGAGGCUCCGACUUGGCCCCGGCGCUGCACCGGCCUGCGGUCCCUGUGUGUGGGCCUCGGUUUCCACGGGAGGUUGAGUGCAUUCCGCUGUGCGACCCUCUGGGGGCGGCAGGGGGCGCCCCCGGCCCACGGGAACGCGCUCGGGGGGACAAAGAGGGUGCGCGACAGCCAGAAGCAGCUCUGACAGGGCCACCGGCUCAGCCUAGUGUUGGGGACACAGGUCAGUGGAGCCCAGAAAUCCCACUGGGCCCUGGAAACGCAGAUGUGACAAUGGACAAGAUCCAUCUGAAAGUUUUGAAGAGAAUAAAGGAGGAGUAAAGAUGUAUAUCAAAGAAACUGGAUGUGGCUCUACCCUAGAGAAUAAGAGAAUCUUCCUGAAGAACUUCCCAAAUAAAAUACCUUGUUUUUCUUCGUGAAAUCUGAUC